rnacentral:rRNA from 1 species
GUGGGGAAUCUUGCGCAAUGGGCGAAAGCCUGACGCAGCCAUGCCGCGUGAAUGAUGAAGGUCUUAGGAUUGUAAAAUUCUUUCACCGGGGACGAUAAUGACGGUACCCGGAGAAGAAGCUCCGGCUAACUUCGUGCCAGCAGCCGCGGUAAUACGAAGGGGGCUAGCGUUGCUCGGAAUUACUGGGCGUAAAGGGCGCGUAGGCGGACAGCUUAGUCAGAGGUGAAAGCCCAGGGCUCAACCUUGGAAUUGCCUUUGAUACUGGCUGUCUUGAGUUUGGGAGAGGUGCGUGGAACUACGAGUGUAGAGGUGAAAUUCGUAGAUAUUCGGAAGAACACCAGUGGCGAAGGCGACUCACUGGCCCAAUACUGACGCUGAGGCGCGAAAGCGUGGGGAGCAAACAGGAUUAGAAACCCUUGUAGUCC